rnacentral:rRNA from 1 species
GACGAACGCUGGCGGCGUGCUUAACACAUGCAAGUCGAACGGAAAGGCCCUGCUUUUGUGGGGUGCUCGAGUGGCGAACGGGUGAGUAACACGUGAGUAACCUGCCCUUGACUUUGGGAUAACUUCAGGAAACUGGGGCUAAUACCGGAUAUGAUCUCCUGCUGCAUGGUGGGGGUUGGAAAGUUUCGGCGGUUGGGGAUGGACUCGCGGCUUAUCAGCUUGUUUGUGGGGUAGUGGCUUACCAAGGCUUUGACGGGUAGCCGGCCUGAGAGGGUGACCGGCCACAAUGGGACUGAGAUACGGCCCAGACUCCUACGGGAGGCAGCAGUGGGGAAUAUUGCACAAUGGGCGGAAGCCUGAUGCAGCAACGCCGCGUGCGGGAUGACGGCCUUCGGGUUGUAAACCGCUUUCGACUGUGACGAAGCGUGAGUGACGGUAAUGGGUAAAGAAGCACCGGCUAACUACGUG